GACGAACGCUGGCGGCGUGCUUAACACAUGCAAGUCGAACGGAAAGGCCCUGCUUUUGUGGGGUGCUCGAGUGGCGAACGGGUGAGUAACACGUGAGUAACCUGCCCUUGACUUUGGGAUAACUUCAGGAAACUGGGGCUAAUACCGGAUAGGAGCUCCUGCUGCAUGGUGGGGGUUGGAAAGUUUCGGCGGUUGGGGAUGGACUCGCGGCUUAUCAGCUUGUUGGUGGGGUAGUGGCUUACCAAGGCUUUGACGGGUAGCCGGCCUGAGAGGGUGACCGGCCACAUUGGGACUGAGAUACGGCCCAGACUCCUACGGGAGGCAACAGUGGGGAAUAUUGCACAAUGGGCGGAAGCCUGAUGCAGCAACGCCGCGUGCGGGAUGACGGCCUUCGGGUUGCAAACCGCUUUCGCCUGUGACGAAGCGUGAGUGACGGUAAUGGGUAAAGAAGCACCGGCUAACUACGU
rnacentral:rRNA from 1 species